GCUAGUGGCUAGGAUGCCACACAGGUUGAAUUUUUUGCUUACCUAAGAGUUAUUUAUAUUUGAUUCCAAACUAUUUAUGCCAGUUUUGGAUUUGGAAAAG